AGAGUUUGAUCCUGGCUCAGAACGAACGCUGGCGGCAGGCUUAACACAUGCAAGUCGAACGAGUAAGAGCCGUAGCAAUACGGAGUUCUGCUAGUGGCGCACGGGUGAGUAACGCGUGGGAAUAUGCCCUUUAGUACGGAAUAACAGUUGGAAACGACUGCUAAUACCGUAUACGCCCUUCGGGGGAAAGAUUUAUCGCUAAAGGAUUAGCCCGCGUGAGAUUAGGUAGUUGGUGGGGUAAUGGCCUACCAAGCCUACGAUCUCUAGCCGGUCUGAGAGGACGAUCGGCCACACUGGAACUGAGACACGGUCCAGACUCCUACGGGAGGCAGCAGUGGGGAAUAUUGGACAAUGGGCGAAAGCCUGAUCCAGCCAUGCCGCGUGAGUGAUGAAGGCCUUAGGGUUGUAAAGCUCUUUUGUCAGGGAAGAUAUUGACGGUACCUGAAGAAUAAGCACCGGCUAACUUCGUGCCAGCAGCCGCGGUAAUACGAAGGGUGCUAGCGUUGUUCGGAAUUACUGGGCGUAAAGCGCGCGCAGGCGGUCUAUCAAGUCAGAGGUGAAAUGCCGAAGCUCAACUUCGGAACUGCCUUUGAAACUGUUAGACUAGAAUAUGGGAGGGGAUAGCGGAAUUCCUAAUGUAGAGGUGAAAUUCGUAGAUAUUAGGAGGAACACCGGUGGCGAAGGCGGCUAUCUGGCCCAUUAUUGACGCUGAGGCGCGAAAGCGUGGGGAUCAAACAGGAUUAGAUACCCUGGUAGUCCACGCUGUAAACGAUGAGUGCUAGCUGUUGGGACCUUAGGUCUCAGUGGCGCAGCUAACGCAUUAAGCACUCCGCCUGGGGAGUACGGUCGCAAGAUUAAAACUCAAAGGAAUUGACGGGGACCCGCACAAGCGUGGAGCAUGUGGUUUAAUUCGAGGCAACGCGAAGAACCUUACCAGGACUUGACAUGUCCAGUUUGGAUUUCAGAAAUGAUUUCCUUCAGUUUGGCUGGCUGGAACACAGGUGCUGCAUGGCUGUCGUCAGCUCGUGUCGUGAGAUGUUGGGUUAAGUCCCGCAACGAGCGCAACCCUCAUCUUUAGUUGCUACCAUUUAGUUGAGCACUCUAAAGAAACUGCCGGUGAUAAGCCGGAGGAAGGUGGGGAUGACGUCAAGUCUUCAUGGCCCUUAUGUCCUGGGCUACACACGUGCUACAAUGGCAGUGACAAUGCGCCGCUACCUCGCGAGGGGAAGCUAAUCGCAAAAAGCUGUCUCAGUUCGGAUUGUACUCUGCAACUCGAGUACAUGAAGUUGGAAUCGCUAGUAAUCGCGCAUCAGCAUGGCGCGGUGAAUACGUUCCCGGGUCUUGUACACACCGCCCGUCACACCAUGGGAGUUGGUUCUACCUUAAGCUGCUGUGCUAACCGCAAGGAGGCAGGCAACCACGGUAGGGUCAGUGACUGGGGUGAAGUCGUAACAAGGUA
rnacentral:rRNA from 1 species